UACGAAGGGGGCUAGCGUUGCUCGGAAUGACUGGGCGUAAAGGGCGCGUAGGCGGCUUACAUAGUUAGGCGUGAAACUCCUGGGCUCAACCUGGGGACUGCGUCUAAUACAUGUAGGCUUGAGUGUGAAAGAGGGUCGUGGAAUUUCUAGUGUAGAGGUGAAAUUCGUAGAUAUUGGAAAGAACACCGGUGGCGAAGGCGGCGACCUGGUUCAUUACUGACGCUGAGGCGAGAAAGCGUGGGGAGCAAACAGG
rnacentral:rRNA from 1 species